GCGGCGUGCUUAACACAUGCAAGUCGAACGGAAAGGCCCUGCUUUUGUGGGGUGCUCGAGUGGCGAACGGGUGAGUAACACGUGAGUAACCUGCCCUUGACUUUGGGAUAACUUCAGGAAACUGGGGCUAAUACCGGAUAGGAGCUCCUGCUGCAUGGUGGGGGUUGGAAAGUUUCGGCGGUUGGGGAUGGACUCGCGGCUUAUCAGCUUGUUGGUGGGGUAGUGGCUUACCAAGGCUUUGACGGGUAGCCGGCCUGAGAGGGUGACCGGCCACAUUGGGACUGAGAUACGGCCCAGACUCCUACGGGAGGCAGCAGUGGGGAAUAUUGCACAAUGGGCGGAAGCCUGAUGCAGCAACGCCGCGUGCGGGAUGACGGCCUUCGGGUUGUAAACCGCUUUCGCCUGUGACGAAGCGUGAGUGACGGUAAUGGGUAAAGAAGCACCGGCUAACUACGUGCCAGCAGCCGCGGUGAUACGUAGGGUGCGAGCGUUGUCCGGAUUUAUUGGGCGUAAAGGGCUCGUAGGUGGUUGAUCGCGUCGGAAGUGUAAUCUUGGGGCUUAACCCUGAGCGUGCUUUCGAUACGGGUUGACUUGAGGAAGGUAGGGGAGAAUGGAAUUCCUGGUGGAGCGGUGGAAUGCGCAGAUAUCAGGAGGAACACCAGUGGCGAAGGCGGUUCUCUGGGCCUUUCCUGACGCUGAGGAGCGAAAGCGUGGGGAGCGAACAGGCUUAGAUACCCUGGUAGUCCACGCUGUAAACGGUGGGUACUAGGUGUGGGGUCCAUUCCACGGGUUCCGUGCCGUAGCUAACGCUUUAAGUACCCCGCCUGGGGAGUACGGCCGCAAGGCUAAAACUCAAAGGAAUUGACGGGGCCCCGCACAAGCGGCGGAGCAUGCGGAUUAAUUCGAUGCAACGCGUAGAACCUUACCUGGGUUUGACAUGGAUCGGGAGUGCUCAGAGAUGGGUGUGCCUCUUUUGGGGUCGGUUCACAGGUGGUGCAUGGCUGUCGUCAGCUCGUGUCGUGAGAUGUUGGGUUAAGUCCCGCAACGAGCGCAACCCUUGUUCACUGUUGCCAGCACGUUAUGGUGGGGACUCAGUGGAGACCGCCGGGGUCAACUCGGAGGAAGGUGGGGAUGACGUCAAGUCAUCAUGCCCCUUAUGUCCAGGGCUUCACGCAUGCUACAAUGGCUGGUACAGAGAGUGGCGAGCCUGUGAGGGUGAGCGAAUCUCGGAAAGCCGGUCUCAGUUCGGAUUGGGGUCUGCAACUCGACCUCAUGAAGUCGGAGUCGCUAGUAAUCGCAGAUCAGCAACGCUGCGGUGAAUACGUUCCCGGGGCUUGUACACACCGCCCGUCAAGUCAUGAAAGUUGGUAACACCCGAAGCCGGUGGCCUAACCGUUGUGGGGGAGCCGUCGAAGGUGGGACUGGUGAUUAGGA
rnacentral:rRNA from 1 species